rnacentral:rRNA from 1 species
GACGAACGCUGGCGGCGUGCUUAACACAUGCAAGUCGAACGGAAAGGCCCUGCUUUUGUGGGGUGCUCGAGUGGCGAACGGGUGAGUAACACGUGAGUAACCUGCCCUUGACUUUGGGAUAACUUCAGGAAACUGGGGCUAAUACCGGAUAGGAGCUCCUGCUGCAUGGUGGGGGUUGGAAAGUUUCGGCGGUUGGGGAUGGACUCGCGGCUUAUCAGCUUGUUGGUGGGGUAGUGGCUUACCAAGGCUUUGACGGGUAGCCGGCCUGAGAGGGUGACCGGCCACAUUGGGAGUGAGAGACGGGCCAGACUCCUACGGGAGGCAGCAGUGGGGAAUAUUGUGCAAUGGGCGGAAGCCUGAUGCAGCAACGCCGCGUGCGGGAUGACGGCCUUCUGGUUUUGAACCGCUUUCGCCUGUGACGAAGCGUGAGUGACGGUAAUGGGUAAAGAAGCACCGGCUAACUACGUG